rnacentral:rRNA from 1 species
UGACACUGACACUGAGGUGCGAAAGCGUGGGUAGCAAACAGGAUUAGAUACCCUGGUAGUCCACGCCGUAAACGAUGUCGACCAGCCGUUGGGUGCCUAGCGCACUUUGUGGCGAAGUUAACGCGAUAAGUCGACCGCCUGGGGAGUACGGCCGCAAGGUUAAAACUCAAAUGAAUUGACGGGGGCCCGCACAAGCGGUGGAGCAUGUGGUUUAAUUCGAUGCAACGCGAAGAACCUUACCUACUCUUGACAUCCUGCGAAUUUGGUAGAGAUACCUUAGUGCCUUCGGGAACGCARAGACAGGUGCUGCAUGGCUGUCGUCAGCUCGUGUUGUGAAAUGUUGGGUUAAGUCCCGUAACGAGCGCAACCCUUGUCCUUAUUUGCCAGCGCGUAAUGGCGGGAACUCUAAGGAGACUGCCGGUGACAAACCGGAGGAAGGKGGGGACGACGUCAAGUCAUCAUGGCCCUUACGAGUAGGGCUACACACGUGCUACAAUGGUCGGUACAAAGGGUUGCCAACUCGCGAGAGUGAGCCAAUCCCGAAAAGCCGAUCUCAGUCCGGAUCGGAGUCUGCAACUCGACUCCGUGAAGUCGGAAUCGCUAGUAAUCGUGGAUCAGAAUGCCACGGUGAAUACGUUCCCGGGCCUUGUACACACCGCCCGUCACACCAUGGGAGUGGACUGCACCAGAAGUGGUUAGCCUAACGCAAGAGGGCGAUCACCACGGUGUGGUUCAUGACUGGGGUGAAGUCGUAA